rnacentral:rRNA from 1 species
UACGGGGGGGGUAAGCGUUGUUCGGAAUUACUGGGCGUAAAGGGCUCGUAGGCGGCCAACUAAGUCAGACGUGAAAUCCCUCAGCUUAACUGGGGAACUGCGUCUGAUACUGGAUGGCUUGGAUUUGGGAGAGGGAUGCGGAAUUCCAGGUGUAGCGGUGAAAUGCGUAGAUAUCUGGAGGAACACCGGUGGCGAAGGCGGCAUCCUGGACCAACAUUGACGCUGAGACGCGAAAGCGUGGGGAGCGAACAGG